GUUGAACGCUGGCGGCAUGCCUAACACAUGCAAGUCGAGCGGAUAAAGGCAGCUUUCGCCUGGAGUCAUCGGCGGGCGGGUGGGUGAUUCCUAGGAAUCUGCCUUGUAGUGUAGUAUGACGUCCGGAAACGAGCGCUGAUACCGCAUACGUCCUGAGGGUGAAAUUGGGUGUUCUUCGGACCUGACGCUUGCAUAUGAGCCUAGGUCGGAUGAGCUAGUUGGUUGGGUAAGGGAGUACCUAGCCGACGAUCCGUAACUGGUCUGAGAGGAUGAUCAGUCACACUGGAACUGAGACACGGACCAGACUCCUACGGGAGGCAGCAGUGGGGAAUAUUGGACGAACGGCGAAAGCAUGAUCCAGCCAUGCCGCGUGUGUGAAGAAGGUCUUCGGAUUGUAAAGCAAUUCCAGUUGGGAGGAAGGGAAGUACGCUAAUAUCUUGCUGUUUUGCCGUAACUAAGAGAAUAAGCACCGGCUAACUUCGUG
rnacentral:rRNA from 1 species